GAGGGUAUAGCUCAAAUGGUAGAGCACAUGCUUAGCAUGCAUGAGUUCCUGGGUUCAAUCCCCAGGACUUCU
rnacentral:tRNA from 1 species